rnacentral:rRNA from 1 species
GAUCAUGGCUCAGGAUGAACGCUAGCUACAGGCUUAACACAUGCAGGUCGCGGGGCAGCAUGAAGGAUGCUUGCAUCCUUUGAUGGCGACCGGCGCACGGGUGAGUAACGCGUAUCCAACCUGCCUGUUACCACGGCACAGCCCGUCGAAAGGCGGAUUAAUGCCGUAUGUGGUCCUGAAAGGGCAUCUGAUCACGACUAAAGGUUCAGCGGUAACGGAUGGGG